rnacentral:rRNA from 1 species
CAGAAUCCGGUUGAUCCUGCCGGACCUGACUGCUAUCGGAUUGAUACUAAGCCAUGCGAGUCUUUGUAGUAAUACAAGGCAGACGGCUCAG